GUUCAGAUUCAGGUAACAAGAUAUUGGUAGAGCCUUUGGCGCGUAACCAAACGAUCCGGGUUCGAGUCCCGGUCUGGGCU
rnacentral:tRNA from 1 species